rnacentral:snoRNA from 1 species
AAGAUCAUACUUCACAGGAUCAUUUCUGUAGUGUAUCUUCACAGACUCUCUACCCAAAGUAGGAGUCGAUGCAGCCACGAGGAUGAGACGUGGCUGCCCAUUCUGAGCGUGAGGCUGGCGGCCUCGAGCCUCUCAUUGCGGAGGCUCGGCCUGCCAACGAUGAUCGUUCACCUCCGGGUUUCAUACCCGGGGGGAUGGAUGGGUAGCUGUCUGAGUGGU